rnacentral:rRNA from 1 species
UACGUAGGCAGCAAGCGUUGUUCGGAGUUACUGGGCGUAAAGGGUGUGUAGGCGGCUUCGUAAGUUCGGUGUGAAAUCCCCCGGCUCAACCGGGGAAUGGCGCCUGAUACUGGCGGACUCGAGAUCGGUAGGGGUGAGUGGAACUCCAGGUGGAGCGGUGAAAUGCGUAGAUAUCGGGAGGAACACCAGUGGCGAAGGCGACUACCUGGCCUGUUCUUGACGCUGAGGCGCGAAAGCUAGGGGAGCAAACGGG